rnacentral:lncRNA from 10 species
CGGAGAUGGCUCUGGAGUUGGCAGGCUUUUCCAAAGGAAAAGGCCCCCCUCAGCCUGAGUAGGGCAUUCCAGCCACACGGAGGGUGACCCUGAGCUGGGGGCCAUCGUUCUGGUCUGGCGUUCUCGCCACCGUGACAGGAUUUGGGUUCGGGCAGUCUGUAUGGGUGUGUGGAGGUGUGGGGGUGUGUGAGGUGUGUGGAGGUGGGUGUGUGGGGUGUGUAGAGGUGAGGGUGUGUGGGGUGUGUGGAGGUGAGGGUGUGUGGGGUGUGUGGAGGUGUGGGGUGUAUGGAGGUGUGGAGUGUGUGUGGAGGUGUGUGGAGGUGUGGGGUGUAUGGAGGUGGGUGUGUGGGGUGUAUGGAGGUGUGAGGUGUGUGGAGGGGUGAGGUGUGUAGGGUGUGUAGAAGUGUGUGGGGUGUGAGGUGGGGUGUGAGGUGUGUGGAGGUGGGUGUGUGGAGCUGUGUGUGGUGUGUGGAGGUGUGAGGUGUGUGGAGGUGUGGGGUGUGUGGAGCUGUGUGGGGUGUAUGGAGGUGUAGGGUGUGAGGAGGUGUGGGGUGUGUGAAGGUGUGGGGUGUGUGGAGGUGUGGGGUGUGUGGAGGUGUGGGAUGUGUGGGGUGUGUGGAGGUGGGUGUGUGGGGUGUGGAGAUGUGUGAGGUGUGGAGGUGUGUGGUGUGUGGAGGUGUGGAGUGUGGGGUCUGUGAAGGUGUGAGGGGUGUGUGGAGGUGUGGGAGUUGUGUGGCGAUGUGUGUGGGGUGUGUGUGUGGAGGUUGGUGUGUGGAGGUGUGUGGUAUGUGGAGGUGGGGAUGUGGGGUGUGUAGAGGUGAGGGUGUGUGGGGUGUGUGGAGGUGCGUGGGGUGUGUGGGGGGUGUGGAGGUA